rnacentral:rRNA from 1 species
UGUAAGCGUAUACCAAAGUUGUUGCAGUUAAAACGCUCGUAGUCGGAAUUUGGCAGUUCCGGAUGUGUGCACGUCGUGUGCGCACUUCGCGGGGAUUGCUUUUGUGGUCUUGCGUAGGAUGAGGCACUUUUAUUAGUGAACGUCCUCACGCAACCACUUUUUACUGUGAGAAAAUCAGAGUGCUCAAAGCAGGCAUUUGCCGUGAAUGUAUUAGCAUGGAAUAAUAGAAUAGGACUUGGUUCUAUUUUGUUGGUUUGUUGGGACUGAGUAAUGAUUAAGAGGGACAGUUGGGGGCAUUUGUAUUUCGGUGCUAGAGGUGAAAUUCUUAGAUUACCGAAAGACAAACUGCUGCGAAAGCAUUUGCCAAGUACGUUCCCAUUAA